AUUGAACGCUGGCGGCAGGCCUAACACAUGCAAGUCGAGCGGAUGAAGGGAGCUUGCUCCUGGAUUCAGCGGCGGACGGGUGAGUAAUGCCUAGGAAUCUGCCUGGUAGUGGGGGAUAACGUCCGGAAACGGGCGCUAAUACCGCAUACGUCCUGAGGGAGAAAGUGGGGGUCCUCGGGCCUCACGCUAUCAGAUGUGCCUAGGUUGGAUUAGCUAGUUGGUGGGGUAAAGGCCUACCAAGGGGACGAUCCGUAACUGGUCUGAGAGGAUGAUCAGUCACACUGGAACUGAGACACGGUCCAGACUCCUACGGGAGGCAGCAGUGGGGAAUAUUGGGCAAUGGGCGAAAGCCUGAUCCAGCCAUGCCGCGUGUGUGAAGAAGGUCUUCGGAUUGUAAAGCACUUUAAGUUGGGAGGAAGGGCAGUAAGUUAAUACCUUGCUGUUUUGACGUUACCAACAGAAUAAGCACCGGCUAACUUCGUG
rnacentral:rRNA from 1 species